UACAGAGGGUGCAAGCGUUGUUCGGAAUUACUGGGCGUAAAGCGCGUGUAGGCGGUUUGCCAAGUCUAGUGUGAAAGCCCCGGGCUCAACCCGGGAAGUGCGCGAGAAACUGGCAGACUGGAGUGUCGGAGAGGAUGGCGGAAUUCCCGGUGUAGAGGUGAAAUUCGUAGAUAUCGGGAGGAACACCUGUGGCGAAGGCGGCCAUCUGGACGACAACUGACGCUGAGACGCGAAAGCGUGGGUAGCAAACAGG
rnacentral:rRNA from 1 species